ACUACGUGCCAGCAGCCGCGGUAAUACGUAGGGCGCAAGCGUUGUCCGGAAUUAUUGGGCGUAAAGAGCUCGUAGGCGGUCUGUCGCGUCUGGUGUGAAAACCCGAGGCUCAACCUCGGGCUGGCAUCGGGUACGGGCGGACUAGAGUGCUGUAGGGGAGACUGGAAUUCCUGGUGUAGCGGUGGAAUGCGCAGAUAUCAGGAGGAACACCGAUGGCGAAGGCAGGUCUCUGGGCAGUUACUGACGCUGAGGAGCGAAAGCAUGGGGAGCGAACAGGAUUAGAUACCCUGGUAGUCCAUGCCGUAAACGUUGGGCACUAGGUGUGGGGACCAUUCCACGGUCUCCGUGCCGCAGCUAACGCAUUAAGUGCCCCGCCUGGGGAGUACGGCCGCAAGGCUAAAACUCAAAGGAAUUGACGGGGGCCCGCACAAGCGGCGGAGCAUGCGGAUUAAU
rnacentral:rRNA from 1 species